rnacentral:rRNA from 1 species
UACAUGGGGUGCAAACGUUGCUCGGAAUCAUUGGGCGUAAAGCGCGCGUAGGCGGUUGCUUAAGUCGGAUGUGAAAGCCCUCGGCUUAACUGAGGAAGUGCAUCCGAAACUGAGCAGCUAGAGUACGAAAGAGGGUCGCGGAAUUCCCGGUGUAGAGGUGAAAUUCGUAGAUAUCGGGAGGAACACCGAUUGCGAAGGCAGCUCGCUGGGACGUUACUGACGCUGAGACGCGAAAGCGUGGGGAGCAAACAGG